AAAACACAAAGCCAAAGAUGAACAGCCAGCAGCCAUACCACCAGCCGGCUACUCUAGAAGAAGUGCGUACCCUUUGGAUUGGGGAUUUACCAUACUGGGCUGACGAGUCCUAUCUCCAUAGCUGGUUUGCUCACACUGCUGAGGUGCUCUCAAUAAAAGUUAUCCGCAACAAAAUCACUGGCCAACCUGAGGGCUAUGGAUUUGUGGAAU
rnacentral:misc_RNA from 1 species